rnacentral:rRNA from 1 species
UGCAAGUCGAGCGGUAAGGCCCUUCGGGGUACACGAGCGGCGAACGGGUGAGUAACACGUGGGUAACCUGCCCUGUACUCUGGGAUAAGCCUGGGAAACUAGGUCUAAUACCGGAUAUGACCUGACAUCGCAUGGUGUUGGGUGGAAAGUUCCGGCGGUACAGGAUGGACCCGCGGCCUAUCAGCUUGUUGGUGGGGUAACGGCCUACCAAGGCGACGACGGGUAGCCGGCCUGAGAGGGCGACCGGCCACACUGGGACUGAGACACGGCCCAGACUCCUACGGGAGGCAGCAGUGGGGAAUAUUGCACAAUGGGCGAAAGCCUGAUGCAGCGACGCCGCGUGAGGGAUGACGGCCUUCGGGUUGUAAACCUCUUUCAGCAGGGACGAAGCGCAAGUGACGGUACCUGCAGAAGAAGCACCGGCUAACUACGUGCCAGCAGCCGCGGUAAUACGUAGGGUGCGAGCGUUGUCCGGAAUUAUUGGGCGUAAAGAGCUCGUAGGCGGUUUGUUGCGUCGGCUGUGAAAACCUACAGCUUAACUGUGGGCCUGCAGUCGAUACGGGCAGACUUGAGUUCGGCAGGGGAGACUGGAAUUCCUGGUGUAGCGGUGAAAUGCGCAGAUAUCAGGAGGAACACCGGUGGCGAAGGCGGGUCUCUGGGCCGAUACUGACGCUGAGGAGCGAAAGCGUGGGGAGCGAACAGGAUUAGAUACCCUGGUAGUCCACGCCGUAACCGUGGGUGCUAGGUGUGGGGGACUUCCACGUCCUCCGUGCCGCAGCUAACGCAUUAAGCACCCCGCCUGGGG